GAAAAACAGAUUUGAAAUUAUAUAAUAAAGUGAGAUUAUGACAGAUAAUAUUUUUUCUGUGAUAUGAAUUGCUCAAAAUUUGGGGCCCAUUUUGGUUUUCGCCACUGGCCCCGAAUUUAUAAAGACGGCAUACUACUUAGAAAGGAGAAUUGAAGGAUUCUUUUCUGUACUAAAACACACUAAUAAACUUGUUUGCAAAGAAAUUUGCAGUUACGUAUGCAAAAAUCUGAAAUAAAAACCAGUUUAGUCAACGUGAUGUAUAUAUCAUGUAUGGAUGGAUGCACAUGACAAAUCAUUUCUUCAUCUCGAUGUACAAGAUCUAUUGCAUUAAAAUGUUGUGGAGCCAAUCUUUUGAAAUCUACACCGUGUACCAAUUUCCACCGACAAAGUAAUUAGCACAGAUAUAUUGAACUCUGUGUGUGUCGUGCUAGUAAAUAAAUACAUUAAUUAGAGAUCUCCUAUCACACUCCUUCAAUCUGUGGCUAUGUAUAGUCCACACAUACAUAAAGCUCACAAGUUAGCUAUGACGGCAACAUAAAGGAAAGAGAGGGAAUCCAAACAAGUAUACAACCAUUCAUAGUCGACGUAGGCCAACCACUAGGACAUCGUAUGUGAAUGUAGGAAAAGGAGGCACUGGGAAAUGAGGAGGAACAGUUUGGGCAGGAAAUGGAACAGUGAUAUCAAAAUGCCAUCUAGAAGUAUGCACCUCCUCCCCAUGGGUGCCUUGAGCACAUGCCAAGGCUUUCUUUGUACCUUUUUGUACUGCGCUGAGAGUGCGCUGUUGCAGCUGUUAGAAAACACAUACAUCGCUGGCCUGCUAGACUAUUCGUCUUAUUUGGACGCCCCACCACGCCGGCCUUGUUCAAGUUGUACAUGUACAACACAAACCACCACUGCCUCAUAUUGCAUAGUAGGGUACCACACAUAGUUCAACAUUUCCUCUCCAGCUUCAACCAGUUACCGUAAUACAUUGGUUUUGGAUAAAUAAAACAUAACGCCAUUUUGACUAUGAAGAGAUCAAAAAACAUAAUAAACCUCUGAAAAAAAUCUUGACGGCCCAUGGUAGUCCUUGCCUUUGGAUUUCCUGUUUGGAUAGUGGUGCGCAUUAAGCCAUAAAACCAUAAAUGGCCUAUUGUGCAAGCUAUUGGCCUGUCUUUGGCCUGUUCUACAAUUUCUAUUAACCAACUAGCUAAGGAACGCUUCUCCGGGAGCCUUUCCAAGGGUCAUUUAGGAUGGGCUGAGAGCGCGCCCAUCUCAACCGCCGCCAUCUAUCGUGUUCCAGGCG
rnacentral:lncRNA from 1 species